rnacentral:rRNA from 1 species
UACAGAGACUGCAAGCGUUAUUCGGAUUCACUGGGCGUAAAGGGUGCGCAGGCGGCCGUGUGUGUCAGGUGUGAAAGCCCGGAGCUUAACUCCGGAAUUGCGCCUGAAACUACAUGGCUAGAGCAUUGGAGAGGGUAGCGGAAUUCACGGUGUAGCAGUGAAAUGCGUAGAUAUCGUGAGGAACACCAGAGGCGAAGGCGGCUACCUGGACAAUUGCUGACGCUCAGGCGACGAAAGCGUGGGGAGCAAAAGGG